UGCCAUUAAAGUGUGCAAUAGCGGGA
rnacentral:piRNA from 1 species